CAGGGGUAGGAUGAAAAUAGAGAAUUGCUCAUGGGCUUUUGCACUCACGAUCCAGCACCUGGCUGUUUCUCGGUGUCCAUUCCUGGCUUAAAAACAAGAUAACAGAGGUAAAAAUGAAAAAAUGCAGAGUAGAGACUCUCCGAUAUGCCUGCUGCUGUUGAAAGACAUGGGGGCAGCUCUGCUGAAGGAAAAGAUGUCGUGUGGUCCCAAGGCCAUUGGGACUAUGGUAGGACCACAGAUUCAGAGUUAGAAGGGACAACAGAGAUCACCUUAUCCAAACUCCUCAUUUUAUAGAUGAGGAAACUGAAGCCUACAGAGUUUAAGUCACACAGCUUUGACUUGUCAGAGCAGAGACAGCAGACAGGUCCUCUGCAUGGCUCAGAUGACUAUUUCUACUACUUCUCAAGUGCCAGCAGGUGAUGGGGCAAGAGAAGAUGUUGCCUUGGGUUUUUGGUCUUUGGGGCUUCCAUAAGAUAAAUCAGAAAAGGGGUGUGGCUACUGGAGAUCAGCUGUGAAGAGAUGAUCAGAUUUUGAAGCAGAGAAGACCGCUGUACCAAGAAGAAGGAUCCGGAGUCUCAAGACCCAUUCUGUUGGCAAGCUGGAAAUAAAGCUUGAUUUCUUUCACUGCUCUUCCCUCUG